GCCUGGGUAGCUCAGCUGGUUAGAGCACUUGUUUUGUAAACAAGAUGUCGCGGAUUCGAGUUCCGCCCCAGGCU
rnacentral:tRNA from 1 species